rfam:Chryseobacterium taiwanense strain TPW19 Contig_19, whole genome shotgun sequence.
GGCUUCGUAGUUCAACUGGAUAGAAUAUCGGAUUUCGGCUCCGAGGGUUGGGGGUUCGAACCCCUCCGAAGUCA